rnacentral:rRNA from 1 species
CAAUAACUGGGGUGAAGUCGUAACAAGGUAGCCGUAUCGGAAGGUGCGGCUGGAUCACCUCCUUUCUAAGGAGA